rnacentral:rRNA from 1 species
AGAGUUUGAUCAUGGCUCAGAUUGAACGCUGGCGGCAGGCCUAACACAUGCAAGUCGAACGGUAACAGGAAGAAGCUUGCUUCUUUGCUGACGAGUGGCGGACGGGUGAGUAAUGUCUGGGAAACUGCCUGAUGGAGGGGGAUAACUACUGGAAACGGUAGCUAAUACCGCAUAACGUCGCAAGACCAAAGAGGGGGACCUUCGGGCCUCUUGCCAUCGGAUGUGCCCAGAUGGGAUUAGCUAGUAGGUGGGGUAACGGCUCACCUAGGCGACGAUCCCUAGCUGGUCUGAGAGGAUGACCAGCCACACUGGAACUGAGACACGGUCCAGACUCCUACGGGAGGCAGCAGUGGGGAAUAUUGCACAAUGGGCGCAAGCCUGAUGCAGCCAUGCCGCGUGUAUGAAGAAGGCCUUCGGGUUGUAAAGUACUUUCAGCGGGGAGGAAGGGAGUAAAGUUAAUACCUUUGCUCAUUGACGUUACCCGCAGAAGAAGCACCGGCUAACUCCGUGCCAGCAGCCGCGGUAAUACGGAGGGUGCAAGCGUUAAUCGGAAUUACUGGGCGUAAAGCGCACGCAGGCUGUUUGUUAAGUCAGAUGUGAAAUCCCCGGGCUCAACCUGGGAACUGCAUCUGAUACUGGCAAGCUUGAGUCUCGUAGAGGGGGGUAGAAUUCCAGGUGUAGCGGUGAAAUGCGUAGAGAUCUGGAGGAAUACCGGUGGCGAAGGCGGCCCCCUGGACGAAGACUGACGCUCAGGUGCGAAAGCGUGGGGAGCAAACAGGAUUAGAUACCCUGGUAGUCCACGCCGUAAACGAUGUCGACUUGGAGGUUGUGCCCUUGAGGCGUGGCUUCCGGAGCUAACGCGUUAAGUCGACCGCCUGGGGAGUACGGCCGCAAGGUUAAAACUCAAAUGAAUUGACGGGGGCCCGCACAAGCGGUGGAGCAUGUGGUUUAGUUCGAUGCAACGCGAAGAACCUUACCUGGUCUUGACAUCCACGGAAGUUUUCAGAGAUGAGAAUGUGCCUUCGGGAACCGUGAGACAGGUGCUGCAUGGCUGUCGUCAGCUCGUGUUGUGAAAUGUUGGGUUAAGUCCCGCAACGAGCGCAACCCUUAUCCUUUGUUGCCAGCGGUCCGGCCGGGAACUCAAAGGAGACUGCCAGUGAUAAACUGGAGGAAGGUGGGGAUGACGUCAAGUCAUCAUGGCCCUUACGACCAGGGCUACACACGUGCUACAAUGGCGCAUACAAAGAGAAGCGACCUCGCGAGAGCAAGCGGACCUCAUAAAGUGCGUCGUAGUCCGGAUUGGAGUCUGCAACUCGACUCCAUGAAGUCGGAAUCGCUAGUAAUCGUGGAUCAGAAUGCCACGGUGAAUACGUUCCCGGGCCUUGUACACACCGCCCGUCACACCAUGGGAGUGGGUUGCAAAAGAAGUAGGUAGCUUAACCUUCGGGAGGGCGCUUACCACUUUGUGAUUCAUGACUGGGGUGAAGUCGUAACAAGGUAACCGUAGGGGAACCUGCGGUUG